rnacentral:rRNA from 1 species
UGGGGAAUAUUGGACAAUGGGGGGAACCCUGAUCCAGCCAUGCCGCGUGUGUGAAGAAGGCCUUAUGGUUGUAAAGCACUUUAAGCGAGGAGGAGGGUACUGGUAUUAAUACUACCAGGUACUGGACGUUACCGACAGAAUAAGCACCGGCUAACUCUGUGCCAGCAGCCGCGGUAAUACAGAGGGUGCAAGCGUUAAUCGGAAUUACUGGGCGUAAAGCGCGCGUAGGUGGUUCGUUAAGUUGAAUGGGAAAGCCCCGGGCUCAACCUGGGAACUGCAUCCAGAACUGGCGAGCUAGGGUAGGGGAGGAGGUGGUGGAAUUUCCUGUGUAGCGGUGAAAUGCGUAGGUAUAGGAAGGAACACCAGUGGCGGAGGGGACCACCUGGGCUCAUACUGACACUGAGGUGCGAAAGCGUGGGGAGCAAACAGG